ACAAUCUGAAAAUUACCUUUGGCCAUUUGGUGCCUACGGUAAGAUAAUUGUGCCGAAAGUAACUGGGUACAUUUAGCUUAUUGCCAACAUGUGAUUGUGCAAUGAAACCCAUGUGCCAACACUG